ACUCCUACGGGAGGCAGCAGUGGGGAAUAUUGCACAAUGGGCGCAAGCCUGAUGCAGCCAUGCCGCGUGUGUGAAGAAGGCCUUCGGGUUGUAAAGCACUUUCAGUCGUGAGGAAGGUAGUGUAGUUAAUAGCUGCAUUAUUUGACGUUAGCGACAGAAGAAGACAACCGGCUAACCGUCCGUGCCAAGCCAGCCGCCGGCUAAUCACGGGAGGGUGACGAGGCGGUUAAUCGGAAUUAUACGAUUGGGGCGUAAAGCGCAUGCAGGUGGUUUGUUAAGUCAGAUGUGAAAGCCCGGGGCUCAACCUCGGAAUUGCAUUUGAAACUGGCAGACUAGAGUACUGUAGAGGGGGGUAGAAUUUCAGGUGUAGCGGUGAAAUGCGUAGAGAUCUGAAGGAAUACCGGUGGCGAAGGCGGCCCCCUGGACAGAUACUGACACUCAGAUGCGAAAGCGUGGGAGCAAACAGGAUUAGAUACCCUGGUAGACAUCA
rnacentral:rRNA from 1 species